UCAGGGACGAGUCUUGUCCGUGUUGAAUGAUGAAUUUUGUUGGUGUGGAGCACCUAUGCAGUGGAGUCUCGGGGUCUAUCGGAGGGAUCCUGAUGAUAUGGAGUUGUGGCUCGAUUAGGAUGGAUACUUUCUAUAGAUAUGAGCAGCAUGUUGCUUAGUCAUCUUGGAGUAGAUCAGGAGACCCUUGACUUUUAUCCGGAGUGUA
rnacentral:lncRNA from 1 species